AUGAAUGGGAUGGAAAAUUCACUUUACUGCUUUGAAUGAACAAAAUUACACGGUGCUUUCUUGAGGUGUCUUUUUUCACCGUGAUCAGAGUAAUAAAACUUUUUUCUUUUGCAGGUAUUUGUCUGUCAUUGGAUUUGUCAUCAACAUUGACACGUUGAUGUUGAUUAUUCCAGAACUGCUCCAAGUUCAGGCCUAUGUGCUCACCUACAGGUUCAGCCAGGAUCACUUGGAGCUCCUGUUUAAUUCAAUCAGAGCGUCAGGUGGCUGGAAUAAUAAUCCAUCUGCACACCAGUUCCAGGCCAUCUUCCGUCGUCUGAUGGUUCGGUGUGGGGUCUCACCUGGUGAGACAGGCAAUGUGGCAGCCCAAGAUGACACUGUGUGCCUGUCUGCCGUAGAGAUGUCCUCUGCUGAAACUGCUGAAGAGUACCCAUCUCCAUUGUUGUGUGUGACCACAGUUAUCUUCCCACUCGGUUUGGUGGUCUUGUGGAAAAUGCUCUGGUCUACAUAGCAGGAUUUGUAGUCCGGCAGAUUCUGCGAAAACUGUCUUGUAAUUUGUGCCGUGCGAGCUUUGUCAGAGAUGCUGUGCCGUCAUCAUUUGAUGAGAACUACCACCUUCUAGCCCUGAAAAACAACGGCGGGCUAGUGAUUCCAUCACAAGGCACAGUGAAGGUGCUGAGAGCUGCAGAGAGGGUGAUUGGCGAAGCUUCAACAAACCAAGCUCCAACGGUGACGACAGUCACGCACAUCGUUCAGGAGGAGAUUGGAACGGAGGAUGUUUUUGUGCUUGGGGGACACAUUGAGGAGACACAGUUUGGCAUCGACAACCAUCAUUCCAACCUGUUGUCAUUGGUUGUGUCGGUGUUUCUUAAAAUAAGGCUGCACCACAUUGCCAAACUCAAGACUCUUAACCUGCAGAAAAGGAGCACGAGAAAGAAGCUCUGCAAAACAGUCCUCUUUCAAGGGUUUUAGUUCAUAGUUUAUGCUUUACUUUCAUGAGCAACUUUGUACAUGUGUAAAUAUGGUUUGGGGCGGGGAUCUGUCACGUUCUUGUGUUUAACUUAACAAUUUACAUUUUUAUUCUAUCUCUGCUUUGUUAUGCAAUUCUGAAAAGCAAGAUGAGAGCGUGUAGAGGCAUUUCCACUUCCUCCUCUCCCCCAUUUGUUAUCCAGGCUUUGUUCUAGUCACUCAUGGUUUUCACUGUUCUUUAUUCUGUUGUGUUGGUUUGCUUUGUUAUAUGUGCUGUUAAUGCUGGAAUAGGUACAUUCCCUGCUGUUUUGAUGUGAAUAUGCAUCCCUCUCUCUCUAUCUGAAUAUUCUAUUACUCUUAAGCCCUUUUGAAUAUUAAAAUACGCCGA